GAUGAAGAACGUAGCGAAAUGCGAUAAGUAAUGUGAAUUGCAGAAUUCAGUGAAUCAUCGAAUCUUUGAACGCACAUUGCGCCCGCCAGUAUUCUGGCGGGCAUGCCUGUCUGAGCGUCAUUUCAACCCUCAGCCCCCGCUCGCGGGGCGCUGGCGUUGGGGAUCGGCCGUCCUCGCGGCGGCCGGCCCCGAAACACAGUGGCGGUCUCUCGCGGACUCCCCUGCGUAGUAGCACUACCUCGCAGAAGGGACGAGCGGGCUGACCACGCCGUAAAACCCCCCACUUCUCCAGGUUGACCUCAGAUCAGGUAGGAAUACCCGUUGAACUUAAGCAUAUCAAUAAGCGGAGGA
rnacentral:misc_RNA from 1 species